UGGAACUGCAUGAAAUGUAUGCACGGACAAACGACACAACGUGCAUUUACUAAUCAGACAUAAAAUGCCGUCGCAACGCAGUUUCAUGCGAGAGCCGGGGGCUUAUGGGGACCCCGGGGUCCCGCCACGAGGUUCAAUUCUUGAAUCGAAAUGCAAUCCUGAAUUACACGCUCGUCAAGCCUACGAAAAUGCCGGGCGGCAGUUGGUGGCGGCUACUUUCUGCUCGUGGUCGCCUCGAAUCCCCAGCACAGGAGGGUGCAGCGAGGGUUGGCGGAUGGCACGCAGAUGGCGUGAAACCUCCGUUCCUGAGAGCGUCGAGGAGGUGGCGAACCCUGGCUCGCCAGGAGAAGGCGGUUACAGUGAUCGCCAUCCGUGUCCAUCUGUACGGGGAUGGAGAGCUGCUCCCAUCGUGCCCGUGGGUUUUCUCCGGGCGCUCCGAUUUGCUCCCACGUGUGAUAAGAACCCAUUCACUGCCUGAAAACACCUUACAAAAUGAGACCCAGUGCAGGACCUUCCUAUGCCUCAUUGUGGCUCUGCUGGAUAAAUAAACGUUAAUAACAAAGAUAAUUGUAUUAAAUAGCACUUGUCCCCAUUGGCUGCCAUGAGUGAGUGGUCAAAGUUCCACGGUCUAAUCGAAGGGGCCAAUUUAGCCAACACAACUGAGUUUCCAAAAAGUGGCACUGAUGUUCAACCGGUUGCCAUCAACCAUGAUCGAUCCACUGCUGGAUGAAGGCCUCAUCUCAUUCAUUGACUGAAAGAAGAAUAUUUAAAUUAAAGCCCAAUUUGCAGGACCCUCUUGACAAAGUAGUCCUAUGACUCAGUGAGUAAAUCAUUUAUUAUAUUAUGAAAUCAGUAGGGUUGGGAAGUUGCGG